rnacentral:rRNA from 1 species
UACGGAGGAUGCGAGCGUUAUCCGGAUUUAUUGGGUUUAAAGGGUGCGUAGGCGGACUGUCAAGUCAGCGGUAAAAUUGAGAGGCUCAACCUCUUCCCGCCGUUGAAACUGGUGGUCUUGAGUGGAUGAGAAGUACGCGGAAUGCGUGGUGUAGCGGUGAAAUGCAUAGAUAUCACGCAGAACUCCGAUAGCGAAGGCAGCGUACCGGCGCCCAACUGACGCUGAAGCACGAAGGCGUGGGUAUCGAACAGG